UACGGGGGGGGCAAGCGUUGUUCGGAAUUACUGGGCGUAAAGCGCACGUAGGCGGCUUUGUAAGUUAGAGGUGAAAGCCCGGAGCUCAACUCCGGAACUGCCUUUAAGACUGCAUCGCUUGAAUCCAGGAGAGGUGAGUGGAAUUCCGAGUGUAGAGGUGAAAUUCGUAGAUAUUCGGAAGAACACCAGUGGCGAAGGCGGCUCACUGGACUGGUAUUGACGCUGAGGUGCGAAAGCGUGGGGAGCAAACAGG
rnacentral:rRNA from 1 species